AGAGUUUGAUCCUGGCUCAGAAUGAACGCUGGCGGCAUGGAUUAGGCAUGCAAGUCGAACGUACUCCCUUCGGGGAGAAAGUGGCGAAAGGGUGAGUAACACGUGAGCAACCUGCCUCCGGAUCCGGAAUAAUCCAGGGAAACUUGGUCUAAAACCGGAUGAAGACAUUGGGCCGCAUGGUCUGGUGUUAAAAUAUUUAUAGUCCGGAGAGGGGCUCGCGGCCCAUUAGCUUGUUGCGGGGUAAUGGCCCACCAAGGCUACGACGGGUAGGUGGUCUGAGAGGAUGGUCACCCACACUGGGACUGAGACACUGCCCAGACUCCUACGGGAGGCUGCAGUCGAGAAUCUUCCGCAAUGGGCGCAAGCCUGACGGAGCGAUGCCGCGUGAGGGAUGAAGGCCUUCGGGUUGUAAACCUCUGUCAUCCGGGACGAAAACAAUGACGGUACCGGAAAAGGAAGCCACGGCUAACCACGUGCCAGCAGCCGC
rnacentral:rRNA from 1 species